rnacentral:rRNA from 1 species
GAGUUUGAUCUGGCUCAGGACGAACGCUGGCGGCGUGCCUAACACAUGCAAGUCGAACGGAGCUACUAUGGAAGCCUCUUCGGAGACGGAAGUUUUAGCUUAGUGGCGAACGGGUGAGUAACGCGUGAGGAACCUGCCUUUCAGAGGGGGACAACAGUUGGAAACGACUGCUAAUACCGCAUAACGUGCUUAGGGGGCAUCCCCUGAGUACCAAAGGAGCAAUCCGCUGAAAGAUGGCCUCGCGUCUGAUUAGAUAGUUGGUGGGGUAACGGCCUACCAAGUCGACGAUCAGUAGCCGGACUGAGAGGUUGAACGGCCACAUUGGGACUGAGAUACGGCCCAGACUCCUACGGGAGGCAGCAGUGGGGAGUAUUGGGCAAUGGGGGAAACCCUGACCCAGCAACGCCGCGUGAAGGAAGAAGGCUUUCGGGUUGUAAACUUCUUUUACCAGGGACGAAGGACGUGACGGUACCUGGAGAAAAAGCCACGGCUAACUACGUGCCAGCAGCCGCGGUAAUACGUAGGUGGCAAGCGUUGUCCGGAUUUACUGGGUGUAAAGGGCGUGUAGGCGGAGCAGCAGGUCAGAAGUGAAAUCUCCGGGCUUAACCCGGAAACUGCUUUUGAAACUGUUGCCCUUGAGUAUCGGAGAGGCAGGCGGAWUUCCUAGUGUAGCGGUGAAAUGCGUAAAUAUUAGGAGGAACACCAGUGGCGAAGGCGGCCUGCUGGACGACAACUGACGCUGAGGCGCGAAAGCGUGGGGAGCAAACAGGAUUAGAUACCCUGGUAGUCCACGCUGUAAACGAUGAAUACUAGGUGUGGGGGGACUGACCCCCUCCGUGCCGCAGUUAACACAAUAAGUAUUCCACCUGGGGAGUACGAUCGCAAGAUUGAAACUCAAAGGAAUUGACGGGGGCCCGCACAAGCAGUGGAUCAUGUGGUUUAAUUCGACGCAACGCGAAGAACCUUACCGAGGUUUGACAUCCCACUAACGAAGCAGAGAUGCAUUAGGUGCCCUUCGGGGAAAGUGGAGACAGGUGGUGCAUGGUUGUCGUCAGCUCGUGUCGUGAGAUGUUGGGUUAAGUCCCGCAACGAGCGCAACCCCUAUUGUUAGUUGCUACGCAAGAGCACUCUAGCGAGACUGCCGUUGACAAAACGGAGGAAGGCGGGGACGACGUCAAAUCAUCAUGCCCCUUACGCCUCGGGCUACACACGUAAUACAAUGGCGGUCAACAAAGGGAAGCAAAGCGGCGACGUGGAGCAAACCCCCAAAAGCCGUCUCAGUUCGGAUCGCAGUCUGCAACUCGACUGCGUGAAGUUGGAAUUGCUAGUAAUCGUGGAUCAGCAAGCCACGGUGAAUACGUUCCCGGGCCUUGUACACACCGCCCGUCACACCAUGAGAGUCGGGAACACCCGAAGUCCGUAGUCUAACCGCAAGGAGGGCGCGGCCGAAGGUGGGUCUGAUAAUUGGGGUGAAGUCGUAACAAGGUAGCCGUAUCGGAAGGUGCGGCUGGAUCACCUCCUUA